UACGUAGGGUGCAAGCGUUGUCCGGAAUUAUUGGGCGUAAAGAGCUCGUAGGCGGUCUGUCGCGUCGGCUGUGAAAACCCGGAGCUCAACUCCGGGCCUGCAGUCGAUACGGGCAGACUGGAGUUCGGCAGGGGAGACUGGAAUUCCUGGUGUAGCGGUGAAAUGCGCAGAUAUCAGGAGGAACACCGGUGGCGAAGGCGACUCACUGGACACGUAUUGACGCUGAGGUGCGAAAGCGUGGGGAGCAAACAGG
rnacentral:rRNA from 1 species